UCCAAAUUUCUAUAAUUGGAAAUCUUUUUCUUCUCCAUUUUCUUAGGAGUAAAAAAAAUAUUAGUUGAGAAAACCAAAAGUCAUUCUCUCUUUUUCCUUGUCUUGGCCGAACCAAACCCUAAGAAAAAUAACAAACCCCAUUAAUUUUAACUCAAGCUUUUUGAGAAAGGUAAGAUUAAAAGCUUCUUUAAAUGGGUUUUAUGUGAUUAUUUUUGGUGGAAAUUAGGCUCAGCACUAUCAAAAGCCUUAAUAUUCUCACUCAUACGGACCCACAUGUUUCCUUGCAAUGAUACGUCAUUCUUCUUCAACCUUUCUUUUUUAUAUGUUUUCUUGAUUUUUUUACGAUUUAAGAAUUUAGAAAAACGAGAUCCUCAUCACUGGAGAUAGCAACAUAAUAACGAGAACGACGAGAAGAGUGAUCAUAGAGAUAUUAAAAGGUUUGAAACUUUCUAAUUUACUACCACAAGCAGCGAUCGUGGCUUAUAUGGUGGAUGGUGGCGGUGGGUAUGAGAAGAUUGUGGCAGCCUGUUUGGUGAAAAAAAAGAUGUUGCGGUGAGACAAGAGCUCACGGGAAGGUUGGUUUUGCAAGAGAUUUCUUUAAAGUGUGAGCUUAAGAUCAACUAAGUAUGGAGGCUAACAAAGCAGUACACGUUAGUGAUGAUAGUAAGGCUGAUAAAGAUGGAGCUAAUUAGUAAGGCUGAUUAGGAUGGAGCUAAUUAAUGCAAUUGGAAUUGAUUGUUUAAGGGUUCUGUAUAUUGUGAAUUUUAAGAAUUUGUUCCAAAUAGCCUUUUACUUGCGGUCCUUGAAGAGCUACUAGCUAGAAGUGCUAAACGGGAUCAUAAAGCUGCUAGGAAGAAGGAAUUGGCCAAGUGCUCUUAUUUAUAUUGGCUUGAGUAUUGCGGUAGUUCUGUGUAUGUGUAGUUGCUUUUGUUAUUUUAUUAAAAAAAAGAAAAGGUUAUGGAUGUCAUUUUUGUUGUGAAGUUGUUUGAUGGAACCAGAAGUUAUCAUGUGUUCAUGAAUUAGAGUAUUAAGAAUCGAAUAACUGUUGAAGGUAUCAUUAGUUUUUGUAAUCUAGCUAAUACAUUUGGACUAUCCAUUUCUGCAA